rnacentral:rRNA from 1 species
AUUGAACGCUAGCGGGAUGCUUUACACAUGCAAGUCGAACGGCAGCGCGGACUUCGGUCUGGCGGCGAGUGGCGAACGGGUGAGUAAUGUAUCGGAACGUGCCCAGUAGCGGGGGAUAAUUACGCGAAAGCGUAGCUAAUACCGCAUACGCCCUACGAGGGAAAGCAGGGGAUCGUAAGACCUUGCACUAUUGGAGCGGCCGAUAUCGGAUUAGCUAGUUGGUGAGGUAACGGCUCACCAAGGCGACGAUCCGUAGCUGGUUUGAGAGGACGACCAGCCACACUGGGACUGAGACACGGCCCAGACUCCUACGGGAGGCAGCAGUGGGGAAUUUUGGACAAUGGGGGCAACCCUGAUCCAGCCAUCCCGCGUGUGCGAUGAAGGCCUUCGGGUUGUAAAGCACUUUUGGCAGGAAAGAAACGUCGCGGGCUAAUACCCCGUGGAACUGACGGUACCUGCAGAAUAAGCACCGGCUAACUACGUG